UGGGGAAUCUUGCACAAUGGGCGAAAGCCUGAUGCAGCAACGCCGCGUGUGUGAUGAAGGUCUUCGGAUUGUAAAGCACUUUCGACCGGGACGAAAACCCGUGAGCUAACAUCUCACGGCUUGACGGUACCGGGAGAAGAAGCACCGGCUAACUCUGUGCCAGCAGCCGCGGUAAUACAGAGGGUGCAAGCGUUGUUCGGAAUUAUUGGGCGUAAAGCGCGUGUAGGCGGCUUUGCAAGUCGGGUGUGAAAGCCCUCGGCUCAACCGAGGAAGUGCGCCCGAAACUGCUUAGCUUGAGUGUCGGAGAGGAUAGCGGAAUUCCCCAAGUAGAGGUGAAAUUCGUAGAUAUGGGGAGGAACACCGGUGGCGAAGGCGGCUAUCUGGACGAUAACUGACGCUGAGACGCGAAAGCGUGGGUAGCAAACAGG
rnacentral:rRNA from 1 species